rnacentral:rRNA from 1 species
UACGUAGGGGGCAAGCGUUGUCCGGAAUUACUGGGCGUAAAGAGUGUGUAGGCGGUGCUCCCAGUCUGUUGUGAAAUCUCCCGGCUUAACUGGGAGGGUGCAGCGGAAACUAGAGUGCUAGAGGGUGGGAGAGGUAAGCGGAAUUCCGUGGUGUAGCGGUGAAAUGCGUAGAUAUCGUAAGGAAGACCAGUGGCGAAGGCGGGUCUCUGGACAGUUCCUGACGCUGAGGCACGAAGGCCAGGGGAGCAAACGGG